GACGAACGCUGGCGGCGUGCCUAAUACAUGCAAGUAGAACGCAGUUGCGAACACGUGAGUAACGCGUAGGUAACUCCCCCCUUGAGGGGGGUAACUAUGGGAAACGAGAGCUAAUACCGCGCACUGUGAGAUGGACCUGAGGUGGAUUAGCUAGUUGGGGGGGUAAAGGCCCACCAAGGCGACGAUACAGAGCCGGCCUGAGAGGGUGAUCGGCCACACUGGGACUGAGACACGGCCCAGACUCCUACGGGAGGCAGCAGUAGGGAAUCUUCGGCAAUGGACGGAAGUCUGACCGAGCAACGCCGCGUGAGUGAAGAAGGUUUUCGGGUCGUAAAGCUCUGUUAAUAGGGAAGCGGUACCUAAACAGAAAGGGACGGCUAACUACGUGCCAGCAGCCGCGGUAAUAC
rnacentral:rRNA from 1 species